AAGUCAUCAUGGCCCUUACUGUCCAGGGCGACACACGUGCUACAAUGGCCGGCACAGCGGGAAGCGAGGCAGUGAUGCCGAGCGGAUCCCUUAAAGCCGGUCUCAGUUCGGAUUGAAGUCUGCAACUCCGACUUCAUGAAGCUGGAAUCGCUAGUAAUCGCAGAUCAGCCAAGCUGCGGUGAAUACGGUUCCCGGGCCUU
rnacentral:rRNA from 1 species